rnacentral:rRNA from 1 species
UACGAAGGGGGCUAGCGUUGUUCGGAAUUACUGGGCGUAAAGCGCACGUAGGCGGAUUUGUAAGUCAGGGGUGAAAUCCCGGGGCUCAACCUCGGAACUGCCUUUGAUACUGCAAGUCUCGAGUCCGAUAGAGGUGAGUGGAAUUCCUAGUGUAGAAGUGAAAUUCGUAGAUAUUAGAAAGAACACCAGUGGCGAAGGCGGCUCACUGGAUCGGUACUGACGCUGAGGUGCGAAAGCGUGGGGAGCAAACAGG